rnacentral:rRNA from 1 species
UACGUAGGGGCCGAGCGUUGUCCGGAGUUAUUGGGCGUAAAGCGCGCGCAGGCGGCCUCGCGCGCCCGACGUGAAAGCCCCCGGCUUAACCGGGGAGGGUCGUUGGGGACGGCGGGGCUUGAGGGCGGGAGAGGGUGGUGGAAUUCCCGGUGUAGUGGUGAAAUGCGUAGAGAUCGGGAGGAACACCCGUGGCGAAGGCGGCCACCUGGGCCGGCCCUGACGCUGAGGCGCGAAGGCGUGGGGAGCGAACGGG